rnacentral:tRNA from 1 species
GCGGGCGUGGCGGAAUUGGUAGACGCGCAGGUUUUAGGUACCUGUGGAGCAAUCCGUGGGGGUUCGAUUCCCUCCGCCCGCACCA